CUGGCCUUGAGCACUCCAAGAAUGGGGCAUCCACAGCUUCUCUGGGAGCAGAGGCAAUCAAAGUCUCCUGCUUGUUGGCAAAUGAGCUAAUUGACUCUAUGAGUAAACGAGCUCCCUGUUCCCAGGUCUACCAAGACUUCAGUGUGCUCACUUUCACUGGAAAAACUUUUUGUGGCCGUUUCUAUGAAACUUGGCUGCAAGGUGUGUAUUGGAAAUGAGAAAAUCCACUCCUGGUUUACAUCAGAGAAGCAGUACAGAAAGAGAAUAAGAAAUGAAGAGCAGCAAUAAAAUGAAUUAUUCAA